GAGGUUGUGGCUCAGUGGUAGUGCACUUGCCUAACAGAAAAGAGGUCCUGAGUUCGAUCCUCAGCACCACA
rnacentral:tRNA from 1 species